GUUAAGUUGCAGGGUAUAGACCCGAAACCCGGUGAUCUAGCCAUGGGCAGGUUGAAGGUUGGGUAACACUAACUGGAGGACCGAACCGACUAAUGUUGAAAAAUUAGCGGAUGACCUGUGGCUGGGGGUGAAAGGCCAAUCAAACCGGGAGAUAGCUGGUUCUCCCCGAAAGCUAUUUAGGUAGCGCCUCGUGAAUUCAUCUCCGGGGGUAGAGCACUGUUUCGGCUAGGGGGCCAUCCCGGCUUACCAACCCGAUGCAAACUGCGAAUACCGGAGAAUGUUAUCACGGGAGACACACGGCGGGUGCUAACGUCCGUCGUGAAGAGGGAAACAACCCAGACCGCCAGCUAAGGUCCCAAAGUCAUGGUUAAGUGGGAAACGAUGUGGGAAGGCCCAGACAGCCAGGAUGUUGGCUUAGAAGCAGCCAUCAUUUAAAGAAAGCGUAAUAGCUCACUGGUCGAGUCGGCCUGCGCGGAAGAUGUAACGGGGCUAAACCAUG
rnacentral:rRNA from 4 species